GGGAGAAAGGGAAUGGGCGGCAGCGGAGACUGGUGCUAGAAUUCGAAUUCCGACGACUUUCGAUUUCAACGUCAUUUGGUUUCGGCUCCUUCAGUGCAAUGAAGGUCGAGUUCUAGGGCUUUCUCCCGUUCAGCUUCGUCACUUUCUUUAUCGUAAUUUCUUGGAAAGGAGCGACGAGUAAACUGUACAUUCAAAUAUGGCUUGCCUUUGGCUACAUAGGACAAUGAUUAUGGCUGUAAAAGAAGAAGUCACAGUUGAAAUUCCUGACAUAUGAAGUCGAGAAAGCUGUAAUCACAGAUCAUCUCAUCGACAAGAUUGCGGCCCCCAUUCACAAGCCAAAUGAGAUUCCCAUUUUUGCCAGGUGGAAUCUUGUUAACAAACACAAUUAUUUUCACUUUGCCUGUCAAUAUGCCACUGAUCAAUAGCUUGCAAUUAUAUUUCCAUGGCCAAUCAUUGAUAUCCUCUUUGCCACUUUUUUAUGCCUCCUAAAAUAUAAGCAAUAUUCUAUUGUAUUCA